GUUCCUGUGGUUAAGUGUUUUUAACGACGGCUUUUCAGGCCGUAGUCCUUGGAGAAAAGCCAAGCAGGAACU
rnacentral:tRNA from 1 species